CGCUACGGCUGAGCCAGUUUGAUAGCACCGGAUCCCGUCAGAUCUCCGAAGUUGAGCAAACUGGGCUGGGUUAGUACUUAGUGGGUGACCACUUGGGACAACCCAGACUCGUAGAUU
rnacentral:rRNA from 2 species